rnacentral:rRNA from 1 species
UACGUAGGGUGCGAGCGUUGUCCGGAAUUAUUGGGCGUAAAGGGCUCGUAGGCGGUUUGUCGCGUCGGGAGUGAAAACCCAGGGCUUAACUCUGGGCUUGCUUUCGAUACGGGCAGACUAGAGGUAUGCAGGGGAGAACGGAAUUCCUGGUGUAGCGGUGAAAUGCGCAGAUAUCAGGAGGAGCACCGGUGGCGAAGGCGGUUCUCUGGGCAUGUCCUGACGCUGAGGAGCGGAAGUGUGGGGAGCGAACAGG